CUUGAACGCUGGCGGCAGGCCUAACACAUGCAAGUCGAGCGGAGCGGCGGACGGGUGAGUAAUGCCUAGGAAUCUGCCUGGUAGUGGGGGAUAACGUCCGGAAACGGGCGCUAAUACCGCAUACUAUCAGAUGAGCCUAGGUCGGAUUAGCUAGUUGGUGGGGUAAAGGCCUACCAAGGCGACGAUCCGUAACUGGUCUGAGAGGAUGAUCAGUCACACUGGAACUGAGACACGGUCAAGACUCCUACGGGAGGCAGCAGGGGGGGAUAUUGAAGAAUGGGCGAAAGCCUGAUGCAGCCAGGCCGCGGGAAUGAAGAAGGCCUUCGGGUUGUAAAGUACUUUCAGCGGGGAGGCGUUACCCGCAGAAGAAGCACCGGCUAACUCCGUGCCAGCAGCCGCGGUAAUAC
rnacentral:rRNA from 1 species